AGAAAAGAAAGUAUGUUGCUUUCCACAAGGCUUCUGGUUUUCCUGUUCUCCCCUACCUGUUUUUUCCAGGGCACCCAAUGGGUGACAGUGCCACGUCCAGGACACUGGACUGGAGCCACCUUUAUAGAACCGGUUUGAAAUCAAACAAUGCCGUGGUACACAAGCCAGCUGAGCCAGAGGUGUCCAUGGGCCAAGAGGGGCAAAGGCCGAGAGACCAGAGCAGAGCAUGGUGCAUAUCCAGGGAGCUCACCCUUGUUUACCAGGGAGCUAGGAGGUGACCGAUGGAACUGUGCCACCCCAGGGAGCAUGUAGAUAUCUCUCCUCACCUUGGAGGUAAAAGAAGGGGCUCCUGGGUGGGUCGGGUGAGGGGAGCAGGACAAGGGUCUACAACCUUCUGAACCUGUGUCGGUCGGGCUGGGGCUGUCCUAUAAGCAUGGUGGCCUUCAACCCAGGUAUCCUCUGCCCCCAGACGGAACUGAGAGUGGGAGGUGAGCGAGCAUCUAGAGAGGGUGGCUCUCGGUGGAAAUUGAGUAGAAUGGCAGAAAUAAGUCAAGCCCAGGCCUGGGGGGUAGAAUGCUUGCCUGGCAUGCAAGAAGCCCUGGGUUCAAUUCCCAGCACUGCAUAAACUGGGUCAGGGUGUCUUCCAGCUGAAAUUUCACUACUCUGGAGUUAGAAGCAGAGGGGAUCCAGAGCUCAAGGUCACAGUACCCUUGGCUACAUAGUGAGUUUCAAGGCCACCCUGAGCUUUAAGUUAAAUAAAAUAUCCUUGCAGGUGGAUAAUUUGAGAAGUUCCCAGACCCUAUGAAGACAGCCCUAAGGGACAAAAUAUAGUGGCAGGAGUGAGCUGGGCAGCAGAUAGCUAGGUGGACAUUUGAAUCCACCUAGAAUUGGCCCCAGCUGUGUGACUAAGGACUUGGGGGCCCUCACCACCAUGUGUACUAAGGUAGGGUGGGGAUGGGGACCUUAGUCAGAGUUUGGGAAGGUAUAUGGCCUAGAAAACCUUCUGGACAUACGCGUAACGAGGAAGCCUGCUUUGGACUCUCUGUUCCCUGUAGCCUGGUUUCCCUUUUGCCUGGCACACCCAGCAGGCAGAGUCCAGACUCGCUGACCUCAAAAAGUCCCGCCCCUCUAGCCUUGUGCUUCUGACUAUUCAUUUCCUGCAGAAGGCUCAGGGUUUUGCCUACUGGGUAAAAAGCAGAGGCAACUCCACCCAAGGGGCCCACACAGAAGCCCAGGGAUACUCUUGUCUGCAUCCCAGACCCCACGCCCACCCCUGCCCCCGCCUUGGUGCGACCCCGUGCCCCCCGCCCCGGUGCAGGGAGGGAGGCACCUGUGCCUGGCACGCCUUCCUGCUGGGUCUGGACUCACUAUCUUAGAACUGAGCGUGAAAACCCAGAAAAGCUCUGAGCCACCAUCCAGCCCCUAAAGUCUUCCUUCUUUAUCUCUCCACAUCCCAUUCCAUCCCUCCCUCCCUGCUAAGGCAGGGGCGAGGAUUCGACCACUGAUAAUUGAUUGUGACUUCUCUCCACGCAAGCACAGGCUCACCGAGGGAUAAAACACGAAGGAGCCCAGUGGUCAAGAGCUCGGGCUGCUCCCACAUUUCCCUGGAAAUCACUUAAAGGUGCCAGCAUAGGAGACGUCACAGUGUGCCCCACCCCCACCCCAGGCCUGCAGAGUAUGCACGGUUUCAGUCCACCCUCACUUAAAUAGACUGUAGGUUCCCUUUGUAGGUGAGGAGACUGACAAGCCCUCACUGCAAGCCAAGGGCAGGGCUCCGUAUGGAAUUCUCAACAGGCCCGUCUACUCCAGCAUGGCUGGCGAGUCCCCGACAAGCCUUUCUCCACAUCUCUGCAGUGUGAACACCCAGGCGCCUCCAUUCAGAGCCUGGCUCCGUAGCCAAACGAGUCUAGUGAUGUCAUCGUUGCCAUGGAAACUCUCUCCAGGCGUCAGGCAGGACCAACCUCCCCUGAGCAGUUUCCCUUUGUGUGGACUUUGCAAUGCGUUGCCAAGGCAGUGAGGCCUGCUGGGUGGCAUCAAAGAAGGUGGCACCAGCUGGAUCUGCCCACAGACGCCUUCGAAGGUCCCAGGGGAUCUAUCUGAGAUUUUGGCCACUACCUGAAGUAUGGAGUUUUGCCAGCAAUAAGGAGAAAGCCUUGUAGGAGGCAAAGGGCACCCACUGGGACCUGGACGAUCAUGGGGAUUCGACAUGCUUUUCUGAAGGCACCAGGCAUGCGGGCUGUACUGAAGCAUACAAGCAGAGUUCCCAGGACUGGCUCUGUUCUAAAGUCUGACUUGGCUUCCAGAAAUUCUCAAACAGAAGUGGAUUCAAACGCAUGAAAGAAGGGAAAGAAAUCCCCCAGGUCUUGGCUGAUCACACCUCCACCCAGGUCUGUGAGUCUGUCCUCCUUCCCACUCUCUGUAAGGCAGACACCUCCACCCCCUGUUUAUACUUGUUUAUACUCUGGGCCUUUGCUCUUCUGGCCUCCUGUGCUCAAAAGCACCCGCAGAAUGAGAAAAAAACACAUUGUUGGCUGACUGUGGGGGCACAGGUCGGUGAGGCCAGCAUCCCAGAGGUUGAUGCAGAAAGACCAAAAGUUCAAAGCCUGCCUAGCCUCCAUAGCAAGUUCAAAGCCAGCCUGGGCAACUUAGCUGACACUAUAUAUCUCAUAGGCAGAGUGCCUGCCGUGUACCUGGGAGACCCCAGCUUCAGUCCCCAGAACUACAAUAAGCAAAUAAGUAAAAAGCCCAGUUCUCCUUAACCCUUGGGAUGGAGGGCAAAGGUCAGGCCUGUGAGACCUCCCAGAGAGCUGACUCUGACCCCACCUCCCUACAGCAGCCCCACCCCUCCCUACUGUCUCUCCUGUAGUCUUCUAUACUCGCCCAUCUCCCCCACUGCAAUAAACCCUUCAGGCCAUCUGGAUGAUGACCCAAGGCUUGCUUGCCCUUUGAGCUGGAGGCACACGGUAAGCCUGAGUUCUAGGCCUAGAAGCAAGAUGGAGGACGCAGGGGCAAGGAGAAGUGAUGGAGGUUAUGGAGCAAGCAGAGGGUGCCUAGUCUCUCCCUGGAAGAUGCUACUGCAGGCCAGAUUCAGCCCAUCUUUCAUGCUGCCUGAGGGGAGACAAGCUCUCUCGGUCCUGAGUUUGACCUACAAGAGAUUCAGAAAACAGCCAUUGACUGUCGUCUGAUGGGUGACUCUAAACAGUAGGAACAGUGGUAUUUCUUUCUUUUUUAUAUUUCUGCAUUUUCCAUUAAAAGAAAAGGAGGAGGAGAGGGGAGGGGAGGAAGAAGAGGGAGAGAAAGAGGAGGAAGUGGAAGAGUAGGAGAAGAGGAAGAAGAAGAGGAGGAGGAAGAGGAGAAGGAGGAGGAGGAGGAGGAGGAGGAGGAGGAGGAGGAGGAGAAAUCUCUCAUUUUAGAAUAAAAAACCAAAACCAUUGGGCUGUCUUGCCACCAUGGUGGCGAAAAAUUAGCCCUCGUGCGUCUUCUGAGCUGAAGAGACACGCUUGGUCUAUGGAUUCUCGGGCAGAAGCUGGAGUGGGCCCAAUGAUGCUCUGCCCUGUUGCCGGCCACUGGAACCCACCCCAACAUCCAUCAACAGUAAAAAGGGUGACUAAAUUAUGAGAGUCACACAGUGACAAGUUCCCAGAAAGACAAGUGGCCUGAGAGUGCCCGAGACAGCAUGGUAGGCCUUCAUAGACAGGACACUGGGCAAAAAAAAAAAAACCCAUACUACACAGUAGGUAUAGCAUAAUUCCAUGCUACACGUGGGCUUUGUCAUACACUGGCCAUCACAGCCUAGAGGGCUACAGGGUGGGCUGAGGGGAAAGGACAACCCUUAGAGCUGUCAGUCAGUAGGAGUCCUGAUGAGCUUUCAGUGUUGGUUUGAGUGUGUGUCUCUCUCUCUUUUUUCUUUUUUUGGUUUUUUGAGACAGGGCUUCUCUGUAUAGCCCUGGCUGUCCUAGAACUCACUUUGUAGACCAGGCUGGCCUCAAACUCAGAAAUCCACCUGCCUCUGCCUCCCGAGUGCUGGUUCUUUUUCUUUUUGAGGCAAAGUUUCAUGGAAUCCAGGUGGCCUCAGAUCUGAUUUGUAGUCAAGGGUGACCUUGAACUCUGAUGCUCCUGCCUCUACUUUCUGAGCUCUAGGAUUACAGACAAUGGGAGGUGCCGGAGAGAUGGAACUCAGGCCUCACGAAUCUUCCAACUGAGCCACAUCCCCAGCCCUGCAUCCCACCUGCCUGGCGCUGUUUCUUGGUUUGGCCACACCAGUUUGUGUAACUUGUGAUGUGUCCCUCAGCUGCACACUUUUGUGUAAUGUACUCAAGGCCCCCUCCUCCCCAAAAGUUUUUGUUUUUAAAAAUAAAAGGCACCCCCCCCCCCCGGCAGGAUAAACCCACCUCCCUUUUCUGUUCAUAGGACACAAGGAGAGGUGCCUGCCUCCCAGGCACACAAACAGCAGCCAGAUUGUUGCCACUAGAAUCUCUUCACUAAGCCUUCCAAAGUGAGACGGGGGACUCUUGUUUCCAUCCAGCAGAGAACACAUGGCUCUGGAAUCAACCCCACAUCAGAUCAGGUGUCUGGAGGCCGGGCCAGGCUCUGAAGGCUGGGUCUUCCAGUUUCAGCUGGAGCAGGCUGAGGACUAGGGCUUGGUGGGUGGGAUGCAGAGGUACAGGUACCUGUGUUGAUGGUGGGGGUUGAGUCCCAUGCACAACCACCUCCAACUCAGGCCUCUGCAGAGUGGCAAAGGUGCAUCUGCCUGAAUUUAGGAGUCAGGGAAGCCCAGGCGGCCUGGCCUGACCUUGCGCGCCACCCCCAAAGGUCAUGGCGCUCAGCUCUCUGGGGUUCAAGUUCCCGUGGCAGCCAGGAGGUCAGAAAUCAAUCCGGGUCGGUCGGCCGGAGAGGGGCGCGGAUCCAGCAAGCUGCCCUCAGCAGCCUGGCUCGGUUAUUUAUAACUGUGGGUCGCCUUACCUCCUG